rnacentral:rRNA from 1 species
UUCCUACGGGGCGCAGCAGUGGGGAAUAUUGCACAAUGGGGGAAACCCUGAUGCAGCAACGCCGCGUGAGUGAAGAAGUAUUUCGGUAUGUAAAGCUCUAUCAGCAGGGAAGAAGAAAGACGGUACCUGACUAAGAAGCCCCGGCUAACUACGUGCCAGCAGCCGCGGUAAUACGUAGGGGGCAAGCGUUAUCCGGAUUUACUGGGUGUAAAGGGGGCGCAGACGGCGAUGCAAGCCAGGAGUGAAAGCCCGGGGCCCAACCCCGGGACUGCUCUUGGAACUGCGUGGCUGGAGUGCAGGAGGGG